GGAGGAGAGAAGGACUGGUACCAGGACCCCAGUGAAGAGACCUCUGCAGUGAUCCAGCCAGGGGGCCUGAGCCGGAGAAGAAGCUGGUGAUCGUGGAAAGUGAUCAGAUUCCAAAUGGCUUGAAAGGAGAGAUGAGAAGAUUUAGAAUUAAAUUUAGGAUUUAAGCUUUAAGUUACCGAACUAGCCAGUGCUUGAGCUGAAAUUUCAACCCCCACCCCUGCCGACUCCAGAGCCCACCAAAAGUAAUCAUAUUUAGUAAUCUGAGAAGAGAACCAGUUCAGAGCCUGGAGAAAAAUGUGAAAGAUCCCUGUACUCAUCAUCAGAACUUUCACGUGACAUGGAUAUAGUGCUUGAAAAGUUGAAAGUGGUAAGGACAAGGAAGACCUGAAGGAAAGCAGAAACUUGGUUGUAGCCCUGGAGUUACAUCAGGAGUGUCACUGAGAGAUCCUUCUCCGUGCUUGGGAAGAAAAUGGACAUGACUGGCGGCAUAGGCUUCGAGGCCUGCUGGGCUCAGGCCUCCUCCAAUUUUGAAAAGAAUAUGUCUUUUUCAGAGGCAACCGGAUCUCAACGGAGUGGUUAAGGAAAGAAA